rnacentral:rRNA from 1 species
GAUGAACGCUGGCGGCGUGCCUAAUACAUGCAAGUCGAGCGAACAGACGAGGAGCUUGCUCCUCUGACGUUAGCGGCGGACGGGUGAGUAACACGUGGAUAACCUACCUAUAAGACUGGGAUAACUUCGGGAAACCGGAGCUAAUACCGGAUAAUAUAUUGAACCGCAUGGUUCAAUAGCGAAAGACGGUUUUGCUUUCACUUAUAGAUGGAUCCGCGCCGCAUUAGCUAGUUGGUAAGGUAACGGCUUACCAAGGCAACGAUGCGUAGCCGACCUGAGAGGGUGAUCGGCCACACUGGAACUGAGACACGGUCCAGACUCCUACGGGAGGCAGCAGUAGGGAAUCUUCCGCAAUGGGCGAAAGCCUGACGGAGCAACGCCGCGUGAGUGAUGAAGGUCUUCGGAUCGUAAAACUCUGUUAUUAGGGAAGAACAAAUGUGUAAGUAACUAUGCACGUCUUGACGGUACCUAAUCAGAAAGCCACGGCUAACUACGUG